GGGGACGUCUUGCUUUGACGUAUACCAGCUCCUUAACAUCUGCAUACCGACUUUGACGAGAGAAGUCGUAAAACAGCGUCAAAAAACAACUGUCAAUAAAAUUUCGACAGCAGCUCGUAAAGUCGCUUCAUUCUUGAACGACCUUACCGCUCCCACAGUCAACCCCGGCUUUGCCGUAGUUGCCUAAAGGCAUUCAUAUCCCACUUGCUCGUGGGAAAGAUAUGGGUGGAAAUACACACGAGACGUAACCCCGUUCCGAUCAGGCGGGGCCAUAUCAAAGAUCACCCUCGCUUCACUCUUGGUUUGAUAAUCACCUAAGUGAAUAGAGGUUAAAAAAUAAAUUUAUCUAAGUAUGUAGAUGGUGUUAAAGACGGUACGCGGACGAGG
rnacentral:tmRNA from 1 species